GAUGAACGCUAGCUACAGGCUUAACACAUGCAAGUCGAGGGGCAUCGCAGUGUAGCAAUACAUGGGCGGCGACCGGCGCACGGGUGCGUAACGCGUAUCCAACCUUCCCGUUACUCAGGGAUAGCCUUCCGAAAGGGAGGUUAAUACCUGAUGGUGUUUGAAUUCCGCAUGUUAUUCAAACUAAAGAUUUAUCGGUAACGGAUGGGGAUGCGUGACAUUAGAUAGUAGGCGGGGUAACGGCCCACCUAGUCUACGAUGUCUAGGGGUUCUGAGAGGAAGGUCCCCCACACUGGAACUGAGACACGGUCCAGACUCCUACGGGAGGCAGCAGUGAGGAAUAUUGGUCAAUGGUCGGAAGACUGAACCAGCCAAGUAGCGUGAAGGAUGAAGGUUCUAUGGAUUGUAAACUUCUUUUAUACGGGAAUAAAACCUCCACGUGUGGGAGCUUGUAUGUACCGUAUGAAUAAGCAUCGGCUAACUCCGUG
rnacentral:rRNA from 1 species